UUCUCAACAUUGGUUGAGAAUCUAAUCAUCAAGAAGCCAUGAAAUAAUAUGAAGAGAGUUUGCAGCAAAACAUGUUUCAUAGUAUACAAAGCCAAUCAACAACAAUAGUGAACAGAACAGAUUCCCCAAAUUUGGAUCUUACAAUAACAAAUCUAGAAGAUCAUAUUUUUACCUUUACUUGCGCUGAUGAGGAAGA